CAGAAGGUCCGGGCGUUAUCCGGAUUUAUUGGGUUUAAAGGGAGCGUAGGCCGGAGAUUAAGCGUGUUGUGAAAUGUAGACGCUCAACGUCUGCACUGCAGCGCGAACUGGUUUCCUUGAGUACGCACAAAGUGGGCGGAAUUCGUGGUGUAGCGGUGAAAUGCUUAGAUAUCACGAAGAACUCCGAUUGCGAAGGCAGCUCACUGGAGCGCAACUGACGCUGAAGCUCGAAAGUGCGGGUAUCGA
rnacentral:rRNA from 1 species